rnacentral:rRNA from 1 species
GAACGCUGGCGGCAGGCCUAACACAUGCAAGUCGAACGGUAACAGGAAGAAGCUUGCUUCUUUGCUGACGAGUGGCGGACGGGUGAGUAAUGUCUGGGAAACUGCCUGAUGGAGGGGGAUAACUACUGGAAACGGUAGCUAAUACCGCAUAACGUCGCAAGACCAAAAAGGGGGACCUUCGGGCCUCUUGCCAUCGGAUGUGCCCAGAUGGGAUUAGCUAGUAGGUGGGGUAACGGCUCACCUAGGCGACGAUCCCUAGCUGGUCUGAGAGGAUGACCAGCCACACUGGAACUGAGACACGGUCCAGACUCCUACGGGAGGCAGCAGUGGGGAAUAUUGCACAAUGGGCGCAAGCCUGAUGCAGCCAUGCCGCGUGUAUGAAGAAGGCCUUCGGGUUGUAAAGUACUUUCAGCGGGGAGGAAGGGAGUAAAGUUAAUACCUUUGCUCAUUGACGUUACCCGCAGAAGAAGCACCGGCUAACUCCGUG